rnacentral:misc_RNA from 1 species
AACUUUCAUCAAUGGAUCACUUUGCUCUCGCAUCGGUGAAGAACGCAGCGAAAUGCGAUAAGUAAUGUGAAUUGCAGAAUUCAGUGAAUCAUCGAAUCUUUGAACGCACCUUGCGCCCUUUGGCUAUUCCGAAGGGCAUGCCUGUUUGAGUAUCAUGAACACCUCAACGCUCGUGGUCCGCCAUGAUGAGCUUGGACUUUGGGGGUCUUGCCGGCGUAGCGUCGUCUCCUCUCAAAUGGAUCAGCUAGCCAGUGUUUGGUGGCGUCACAGGUGUGAUAACUAUCUACGCUUGUGGUUUCCCGCCAUGUAACCUUCAGCGAUGGAGGUUCGCUGGAGCUCACAGAUGUCUCUCCUCAGGGAAGACGGCUUUUUGAACGUUUGAUCUCAAAUCAGGUAGGACUACCCGCUGAACUUAAGCAUAUCAAUAAGCGGAGGCU